rnacentral:rRNA from 1 species
UGAGGAAUAUUGGUCAAUGGGCGAGAGCCUGAACCAGCCAUGCCGCGUGCAGGAAGACGGCCCUACGGGUUGUAAACUGCUUUUGUGUGGGAAGAAAACGCACUACGUGUAGUGCACUGACGGUACCAUAUGAAUAAGCAUCGGCUAACUCCGUGCCAGCAGCCGCGGUAAUACGGAGGAUGCGAGCGUUAUCCGGAUUUAUUAGGUUUAAAGGGUGUGUAGGCGGACGAUUAAGUCAGUGGUGAAAUCUCAGAGCUUAACUCUGAAACUGCCAUAGAUACUGGUUGUCUUGAGUACAGUUGAAGUAGGCGGAAUGUGUAAUGUAGCGGUGAAAUGCUUAGAUAUUACACAGAACACCGAUUGCGAAGGCAGCUUGCUAAGCUGUUACUGACGCUGAUGCACGAAAGCGUGGGGAGCGAACAGG